rnacentral:rRNA from 1 species
AGUGGCGAACGGGUGAGUAACGCGUGAGUAUCUGCCCUUAGGAGGGGGACAACAGUUGGAAACGACUGCUAAUACCCCAUAUGUCUACGGAUGAAAGAUUUUAUCGCCUGAGGAUGAGUUCGCGUCUGAUUAGCUAGUUGGUGAGGUAAAGGCUCACCAAGGCGACGAUCAGUAGCUGGUCUGAGAGGAUGAUCAGCCACACUGGGACUGAGACACGGCCCAGACUCCUACGGGAGGCAGCAGUGGGGAAUUUUCCGCAAUGGGGGCAACCCUGACGGAGCAAUACCGCGUGCGGGAGGACGGCCUGUGGGUUGUAAACCGCUUUUCUCAGGGAAGAAGACCUGACGGUACCUGAGGAAUCAGCAUCGGCUAACUCCGUGCCAGCAGCCGCGGUAAUACGGAGGAUGCAAGCGUUAUCCGGAAUUAUUGGGCGUAAAGCGUCCGUAGGUGGUUAAUCAAGUCUGCUGUUAAAGAGCGGAGCUCAACUCCGUUUAAGCGGUGGAAACUGGUUGACUAGAGAGUGGUAGGGGUAGAGGGAAUUCCCAGUGUAGCGGUGAAAUGCAGAUAUUGGGAAGAACACCGGUGGCGAAAGCGCUCUACUGGGCCACAUCUUACACUGAUGGACGAAAGCUAGGGAGCGAAAGGGAUUAGAUACCCC